rnacentral:lncRNA from 1 species
GAACACUACUGCAUCUAUCAAAAAUAUUGAGGUUCAGAUGGGUCAGAUAGCACAACAAAUAGCAGGUUCUCGAGCACAAGGUUCCCUAUAAAGUGAAACAAUACAAAAUCCUAGAAAUCAUGAGAAUGUUAAUGUUGUCACGACAAGAAGACAGAAAAUUGCUAAAGAUGAAGAAGAUAGGGCAACAAAGGAUGACCAUGUCAUAGAGGUAGUUCUGGAAGUAAGGGAAAAUAAGAAAAAGA